GUCUCUGUUGCACAAUGAAUAGCGCGUUGGACUUCGAUUCCAAAGGUCGUGGGUUCGAAUCCCUCCUGGGAUG
rnacentral:tRNA from 1 species